GACGAACGCCUGGUGCGUGCUUAACACAUGCAAGUCGAACGGAAAGGCCCUGCUUUUGUGGGGUGCUCGAGUGGCGAACGGGUGAGUAACACGUGAGUAACCUGCCCUUGACUUUGGGAUAACUUCAGGAAACUGGGGCUAAUACCGGAUAGGAGCUCCUGCUGCAUGGUGGGGGUUGGAAAGUUUCGGCGGUUGGGGAUGGACUCGCGGCUUAUCAGCUUGUUGGUGGGGUAGUGGCUUACCAAGGCUUUGACGGGUAGCCGGCCUGAGAGGGUGACCGGCCACAUUGGGACUGAGAUACGGCCCAGACUCCUACGGGAGGCAGCAGUGGGGAAUAUUGCACAAUGGGCGGAAGCCUGAUGCAGCAACGCCGCGUGCGGGAUGACGGCCUUCGGGUUGUAAACCGCUUUCGCCUGUGACGAAGCGUGAGUGACGGUAAUGGGUAAAGAAGCACCGGCUAACUACGUGCCAGCAGCCGCGGUGAUACGUAGGGUGCGAGCGUUGUCCGGAUUUAUUGGGCGUAAAGGGCUCGUAGGUGGUUGAUCGCGUCGGAAGUGUAAUCUUGGGGCUUAACCCUGAGCGUGCUUUCGAUACGGGUUGACUUGAGGAAGGUAGGGGAGAAUGGAAUUCCUGGUGGAGCGGUGGAAUGCGCAGAUAUCAGGAGGAACACCAGUGGCGAAGGCGGUUCUCUGGGCCUUUCCUGACGCUGAGGAGCGAAAGCGUGGGGAGCGAACAGGCUUAGAUACCCUGGUAGUCCACGCUGUAAACGGUGGGUACUAGGUGUGGGGUCCAUUCCACGGGUUCCGUGCCGUAGCUAACGCUUUAAGUACCCCGCCUGGGGAGUACGGCCGCAAGGCUAAAACUCAAAGGAAUUGACGGGGCCCCGCACAAGCGGCGGAGCAUGCGGAUUAAUUCGAUGCAACGCGUAGAACCUUACCUGGGUUUGACAUGGAUCGGGAGUGCUCAGAGAUGGGUGUGCCUCUUUUGGGGUCGGUUCACAGGUGGUGCAUGCCUGUCGUCAGCUCGUGUCGUGAGAUGUUGGGUUAAGUCCCGCAACGAGCGCAACCCUUGUUCACUGUUGCCAGCACGUUAUGGUGGGGACUCAGUGGAGACCGCCGGGGUCAACUCGGAGGAAGGUGGGGAUGACGUCAAGUCAUCAUGCCCCUUAUGUCCAGGGCUUCACGCAUGCUACAAUGGCUGGUACAGAGAGUGGCGAGCCUGUGAGGGUGAGCGAAUCUCGGAAAGCCGGUCUCAGUUCGGAUUGGGGUCUGCAACUCGACCUCAUGAAGUCGGAGUCGCUAGUAAUCGCAGAUCAGCAACGCUGCGGUGAAUACGUUCCCGGAGGCU
rnacentral:rRNA from 1 species